AUCCUUUUGUAGUUCAUGAGCGUGAUGAUUGAGUGUUCAUGCUCAUGUGAGAUGUGGCCACCCACCUUGUUACCACGGCAGCACAUUACCCAUCUGGCA
ensembl:snoRNA